GCAAGACAGAUGUGAAAUCCCCGGGCUCAACCUGGGAAUNGCAUUUGUGACUGCACGGCUAGAGUGUGUCAGAGGGGGGUAGAAUUCCACGUGUAGCAGUGAAAUGCGUAGAUAUGUGGAGGAAUACCGAUGGCGAAGGCAGCCCCCUGGGAUAACACUGACGCUCAUGCACGAAAGCGUGGGGAGCAAACAGGAUUAGAUACCCUGGUAGUCCACGCCCUAAACGAUGUCUACUAGUUGUCGGGUCUUAAUUGACUUGGUAACGCAGCUAACGCGUGAAGUAGACCGCCUGGGGAGUACGGUCGCAAGAUUAAAACUC
rnacentral:rRNA from 1 species